rnacentral:rRNA from 1 species
GGCGGACGGGUGAGUAACGCGUAAGGAACUUGCCUCUUGGUCUGGGACAACUGUUGGAAACGACAGCUAAUACCGGAUAUUAUGAGAUUCUCGCAUGGGAAACUUAUGAAAGCUAUAUGCGCCAAGAGAGAGCCUUGCGUUCCAUUAGCUAGUUGGUGGGGUAACGGCCCACCAAGGCGACGAUGGAUAGCCGGCCUGAGAGGGUGAACGGCCACAAGGGGACUGAGACACGGCCCUUACUCCUACGGGAGGCAGCAGUGGGGAAUAUUGGACAAUGGGCCACAAGCCUGAUCCAGCAAUUCUGUGUGCACGAUGAAGGUCUUCGGAUUGUAAAGUGCUUUCAGUUGGGAAGAAGAAAGUGACGGUACCAACAGAAGAAGCGACGGCUAAAUACGUGCCAGCAGCCGCGGUAAUACGUAUGUCGCAAGCGUUAUCCGGAUUUAUUGGGCGUAAAGCGCGUCUAGGCGGAAAAAUAAGUCUGAUGUUAAAAUGCGGGGCUCAACUCCGUAUUGCGUUGGAAACUGUUUUUCUAGAGUACUGGAGAGGUGGGCGGAACUACAAGUGUAGAGGUGAAAUUCGUAGAUAUUUGUAGGAAUGCCGAUGGAGAAGUCAGCUCACUGGACAGAUACUGACGCUAAAGCGCGAAAGCGUGGGGAGCAAACAGGAUUAGAUACCCUGGUAGUCCACGCCGUAAACGAUGAUCACU